CUGCUCUCUGUGAGUUAAAUGGUGUU
rnacentral:piRNA from 1 species